rnacentral:rRNA from 1 species
CAAGAUACGGGGCAGGGUCGUGGGGAAGACGGUGGGAGGGAGAGGUGUCGGGAUUCAUUGGGCUGAAAGAGCUGGUAGGGGGGUUGGUAAGGCGGAUGGAGAACCGCGAGGCUCAACCUGGAGGCGCCAUCCGAUACUGCCAGGGCUAGAGUCCGGUAGGGGCCCACGGAAUUCCUGGUGUAGCGGUGAAAUGCGCAGAUAUCAGGAGGAACACCGGUGGCGAAGGCGGUGGGCUGGGCCGGCACUGACGCUGAGGAGCGAAAGCGUGGAGAGCGAACAGGAUUAGAUUCCCCAGUAGUC